GCUAGUGUGCACCUUUUCUUGUCCAUAAGAAAAAUGAGAUUUAUGAAAUAUGAAUUUUUGGUCUUGUGAAAUCCAACCCCUUUCCCGCAUUUCAAGCAACUUAGAUAAAACCGUUUCCAUUGCGCCAACGUAUACAAAUAAUAGCCUAUACUCAGAAAUCGUGUAUUGCUUUGAAAUUUAUCCCAAAUGUCAAGCUUGAUAGUGUAUCUUCAAUUGUUAUGAGAGAUUUUGGCGGAUCCUUUGUUCUGCCAUUAGCCCCAUAAACACCAGAAGUCCCAGAAUGCAAGAGAGCAUUGUACAAAUCCAAGAAAAGAAAUUCCGAAUACUUUAAGUAAUAAAUCCAACAAGAAUAAUCUGAUAAAAUCACAACAUUGAAAACAAGUAAAAUAGAUGCCUGGUCUUGUGGUAUGUGCUCUGGACUGUCGUCUCAAUGAUCCCGGGUUCGAUCCCUGCCCGAUGUCAUCUCGUACUUCGGGACGUUUCGGCUUCAUUUCUGAAACAGUACCCCAAACUUCUUCUUGGUUCUCAUUUUACAUGUAAGAGGGUUCAGAUCAGUAAUCCUAUAUAAGAGAUGAGCCGCGCAGUGGUGUCCAGAUCAGGCAGUUCUCCGUAUAGUUUUUUUUUAUCCCAAACAAUAUAGAACAUAUAAACUAAAUAAGUCAACUGAAGCUGUGAAAUAAUGAACCUAUAAAAGCUAAUAAAAUCUACCAUAACAACUGAAGAUAGGCCUACACUCAAUCAAGACAACUCGUUAACAAGACUCAAUUUUUAAUGGCUUGUGAUAAUGUCUCUACACUUUUACUUUUGUUUGUCAUAGUCUCAUUAAAACAAAAAAUCAAGCAAAGUCUGAAAUAGAUUUAUAUGAACUUAACAAAAGUAGAGAUCCACAAAAAGCACACACAAAAAAAAAGGGUUGCGCCAGGAGGACAAUUUUUUUUAAUGAUGAUGCCGCCAAGUCUGCCGUCAGGAGAGGCCAACAAGGACUCUAGUCCGCUUUUUUUUUUUUUAUGAAUCUUGUGUAUGUAUUUGAAGUUUUUUGGGCCUUUUUUUUUUUAUGGGGGUGGGGGGUGCACAUAUUCCCAGCUGUCUGAUGCCCAAAUAAGUCUGGUGGCGGGUCAGAUGUGUUAGACACCUUAUUUAUAUAGGUUAGUUAUUUUAGUUAUUUAGCGACGCACCAUAGUAGACGCAUAUUGAACGGGACUAGUGACGUUUGGGAUAUGUUGGGUUAGAGACCGGAAAAUCAGUUAGCGAUAGAACAUUCCAGGGUAACGACGUGUUUAGUGACAGAGACUUCUACUGUGGCCCUUUUAUCAUAAUAAAUACAUGUUGAAUAGUUCAUCAGAGUCGACUACAUCUCUUCACUAGUUAAAAUAGAUGUGCCAGUUCUUGUUUGUGUUGUAGUUCAACUGCACGUAAUACACCCGGACAAUUACACCCAAACGAUUGCAGAGUAAUUGGUUGACUUCAAGACAGCCUGAACUAGCAACAUCACAGUGGCGACCCCGAACCUCGAAGCCGGACCCCUGUUGAAGCCGAACAUCGAACCGAACCUCGAAGCCGGACCCCUGAUGAAGCUGAACAUCGAACCGGACUUCGAAGCAGAACGUUUACUCAGGUGAGGGUCGUGCACUCGAAGAUAUAAGAUUUCAUCGGAGUACGGCUGAACACAGCAGUAUCGCAGAGUGACUUUGUUCUAGAUCUACAUACAGUCAUCGCCUGUUUGAUCGCACGUUCAACGAGCCGUUAACUCAGGGUGACCUUCGUCAGGACCGUAAUCAUCGCAACGCCUGAUCUUCAUAUGCUGAAUCGACCUACAGCCAGAGAAACCGUUCAUUCAUAACGGGUGAGAGAUCGUUAGUGAACCUGUUGGACAUAUUUUUUCUUCGUCAUAGGAGCCACAUUGAGUAUCAAGUUUUACCUCGUCAGUUUCGAGAAGGACAGUUUACCCGCUGUCAGAAGUAUUGUGAGUACUACAAGUUUGGUAGCUAACUAAAUCGAAAUCGCUCUGUCGUCUUACCCUUGGAGAGAUUCUUGUGGAGCAGUUUGCUCAUUGAACCGGUUGCUUGCCACGUUUAUAACGGUCACUGUGUUUAACCUUUGGAAGGUUAGUGAAGUAAUCUUUAUCAGUACUGAACAUUGAUAUAUCUAGUAUUCGUCGGUCUAGACCAUAUCUAGACUUGUUGAUAUUGCAGUUGUGGAAACAGCUACAUCCACUUAAUUUCGUUGAAAACCGUUAAUCGUCUAACGGAACGUCGUCGGAGGUGACCUUGGUCUCACCUAGUCUACAUUGGACAGUUUGGUCUAUUGAAGCAGAGUAUAACAGCAAACUUCGUCGUACUACCAGAGUAGCAGCAGAAGCAGUGAACUAUUUUAGAGAACCGUUAUUCGUCAGCCCAGAUCAAGUCAUCGUCAAGAAAGCCGUUAUUCGUCAGCCCAGAUCAAGUCAUCGUCAAGAAAUUCGUUAUUCGUCAGUCGUCCAGAUCAAGUUGUCGUCAAGAGACUGUUAUUUGUCAGUAGUCGUCUACACAAGUCAAGUCAUCGCCAGAAGAACCGUUAACCUAUUCGUCAGUAACUGUGUACACAAGGUCGUCGGAACUACACAUACGGUCAUCAACAGUCGUCGAAGAAACUGGAACAUUUUGCUGUGGCAUAUCAGGACAUCUGUGGCAUUACGUGGGAUACUGGUAGCACCGGAGAACAGAGUCAGAACUGGAAGAGAGGCAGUGGAAUUUGUUGUGAUCUAACAUAUUCGGGAGUCCGAACAAAGGGAUCUUUCUUAUCAAAAGCUAAGUGCCAUUUUUCUUAUUAGUAUAUGUUUAGAUUGCCCUUAGAAAUAGAUUUUGUCUAAAUUUGGUACGUUAGCCUGAGUAAAAUCAGGUGGUGCGCCUUAAAACCCGUCGGGGUAGAAGACGUAAUUUAGAUGAAAAGCUAUAUUAUACGUUUAGGGUUGUAAUUUGUUUUGUUUGUGCAAACGUCAUAUCCGUUGUUGCCUGGUUACUUCGUGACGUUAUCAUUGUGUGCCAUAUUGUCACAUCCCAACCCAUAGUGAUAGUCUCAUUUAAUUAUUUCAUUUGUUUAUAUUAUUUUAAAUUAUUUAUUUUUAUUAAUUUAAUUAGAUCUGUAUUUUUUUUUCACUUAAUGAUAGAAAGUGCGGGUAGGAUUCUUUUACUGUGAAUCAGACUAAAAUAAUUUUAGUUUGAGCGGUUAAAAUCAAAUAUGAUUUUGCCAUGAGAAUAAUGCCGAAACUGGCUAUGUAGUCAAACACUGUCGUCUGGCUAAAUUUAGAUCUGCAAAUUGUUGUACAUCUCUUUGGUACAAUUUAAUUAUCUAGACUCUACUUUGAAAUAUUAUUAAGUUGAAGAUGAAUGAAGAUUACUGCCAGUGAAGAACAUUUGAGAUGUAUAGGACGUGCCCAUAAGAUGCCACAUUUUCCUCCAUGAUGAACUAUGUACCAAUGAAGAUGAUUCUGGAAUGUUAUGAACUGUUAUGAACAUUGACAUGAAUAUGAGGAACUGUCAAGAUGAAGAUGUCAAGAUGAAGAGAUCAAGAUUUUAUGUUUGUGGUCUUCCCCUUAAAUUGAAAAUGCCCUUGUAAGACUUGACAGUAGUGGAAAAAUAUUGACAUAUUUUUUUUUCAAGGGGGGGAGGAAUCUGUUAGACACCUUAUUUAUAUAGGUUAGUUAUUUUAGUUAUUUAGCGACGCACCAUAGUAGACGCAUAUUGAACGGGACUAGUGACGUUUGGGAUAUGUUGGGUUAGAGACCGGAAAAUCAGUUAGCGAUAGAACAUUCCAGGGUAACGACGUGUUUAGUGACAGAGACUUCUACUGUGGCCCUUUUAUCAUAAUAAAUACAUGUUGAAUAGUU